AUACGGAGGAUGCAAGCGUUAUCCGGAUUUAUUGGGUUUAAAGGGUGCGUAGGCUGUUCGGAAAGUCAGGGGUGAAAGCCCGGCGCCUAACGCCGGAACUGCCUUUGAUACUUCCGAGCUGGAAUACGGAUGCCGUGGGAGGAAUGAGUAGUGUAGCGGUGAAAUGCUUAGAGAUUACACAGAACACCGAUUGCGAAGGCAUCUCACGAAGGGUUGAUUGACGCUGAGGCACGAAAGCGUGGGGAUCAAACAGGAUUAGAUACCCUGGUAGUCCACGCAGUAAACGAUGAUGGCUAACCGCUGGGCUUAUCAGUUCAGUGGCCAAGCGAAAGCGAUAAGCCAUCCACCUGGGGAGUACGACCGCAAGGUUGAAACUCAAAUGAAUUGGCGGGG
rnacentral:rRNA from 1 species